rnacentral:lncRNA from 1 species
GGACUCUGCCCCCCAGCUCUGAGGGACCGUGGUCCGAGCUGCUGUGGCUGCCUCCGGAUUUAGGGUUACGUGGAGCCGUACCCCAGCUUCCCUCCAGCGUUCUGCACCGAUUAGCAGUCACCCAGCACUUGCUUUUACAACUUUUUAUUUUGAAAUCGGUUUAAUAGGCACCAGACACUGUAAAAAUCAGGCCAAGGUUCCUGUGUGCCCCGCACCCAGCUUCGACCGUGCUGAUAUCUAACCACAGGACGUUGUCGAGAGCAGGAAAUUGAUGCUGGCACGGGAUGAUUAACUCAGGUACGGGCAUUGCCAGCAAGGACUCUCAAUCACUUUUAUGGGGAAAUAUAUUCCUCACCGCUCUCCCAGGUCAGUGUUUGCCAAAGUGCGGGAAUGCGGCCCGGCCGUCAGCAGGACGAUUUCAGGCGGUGGGAGACGCUCGCCUGAAACGGUAUUGAAGCCACGGCAGUAAGGGAAAGCCCUUCUAGUUCCCCCGGGCUCUCUGAUUUGGCAGAGUCUCGCCUGGGGUCUGCGCGGUCUCGAACGCCUCUCCGACACCUGCCAUCUUCCCGUUUUAACCAAAGAUGGACUUGCUGGCUUCCGGCUCAGUCCUUCGGUAGCGGGACUCUGGCCAGAAACGGUGAUACUGUUUUGGCUUUAUCAGAUUCCUUUUUACAUCGGGCAAGAGGCACCAGUUUUGUAUUUAUGAUAAUCACAUAAAGUUUCUUUUAUGAUUUUUACGUUGAAGGGGAGCUGAUUUAAAGCAGACGUACUAACUGACCAAUGGUCCUGGAGCCCUGAGCCGUGCAAGGCAAGGAAGGGGCCGCACUCAGCUGACACUUGGGGUACUUUGCCCCGGUUUGGGCGAAGUUGUUCCCUGUUCCUUUUGUUGAGUGGACCAAGGCGCUGUUCCUGGAGGAGACAGGUACACUCGCUCAGCGCGCGGUGAGAUGCGAAGCCCAAGAGUCAGUACCUCGGACAGCGCCCGCCUGCCAGGCACAUGGUGAUGGUUGGUCCCGCCCUGGUUGCCCUACCUCACUCCACACAGGACUCAAAGGUUAUCUUCGACCUCUGUGUUCACUCUGUGGAGCGGACCAAGUCCACGGGGAGCAAAGAUCUGAGCUCCAGCCAUGCUGUCGGCCUCAGGCAAAUGCUCACCUUGCGAACGGCAGCCGGUGCUGGCGGGCUGCACCAUGCCAGCGAGAGCGGCAUCACACUGGCCGAGAGCCUGGACGGUUCGGGGUCCAAGGCCUUGAGAGUCACUGCAGACCCCCCCAAAAUGCUAAUCAAGGUGAGGACACUGCAAGUAAUCUGUGGCUCAAAUAAUUGUUUUAAGUCUCGGGAACGUGACAGGCGCUCAUGCUGUCGAAGACGAGAAAGUUUCCAUAUCUUUCACUUUUGUCCUCAAGGUUUCAAAAUUACCAUUUUUCAUACCUUCUAAAUUUUUGGUAAAUGACAUGCCAUUAUUUCAACAACUUGACACUUUAUCAUUUAAAGUGUGGUUUUUGUUUCUUUACUGGUUCCCUGCUACAAGUGAGCAGAAACUCCCUGAGCAAGUGCACUGAUUGCCUCUCCCGUCCCGAUCCCCCGUCUUUCUCCCAGGCCCUGCCUCCCUCGCUGCCGUAGCCUGUUGGGCUCUCCUGUUACCUCUGAGUUUCCUCAGGAAGUAUCUGACAUCGGAUAUACUGAUGUCAGAUUAUCUCCUGGGUUCAUGUUAAUAUUCUCGAUGGGAUACCUCUUGAUUAUUACAACCCAAACUUUACUGACGUAUUUUUCUGCUGAUGUUUAUAGAGGAAAACUUUAUAUUUAUGUACCCCAAACUCAGUGUUUGGGAAAAGUCUCCCAUUACAUUCAAAUCACACACAGAUGCUUUCCACCGGGUGUAGACUUUGUUUCUCAUGAAGCUAUUGGUGCCAUGAGACUUUGUGUCACUGCGCACAGAGUCCUGCCUGCUGACGGCCACGGUCAUCCUGUGGGGACGCAGAAGACCCGAGUAAACAUUUUGCAUGCUGGUAUGUUUGCUUAUUACUUAUAAAGAAAAGUUUUGUUGUGUUUUACUUUCAUUUGAAGAAAUCAACCAGGGGUUUUUGAUAGAGUAACAUUUUUUUUUUCAAUUUAAAAUAAUGGGAAAGAAACUUUGGGUUAGUGUUUUCACACAAACCAUGAUUUUCAGAAAAUAAUCACUACCGCAAAGUGGGAAAUGUCUGUAUCUGAUUGCACCAUGUAUCGGCCAGGAUAAGCCAGGCUCCUGAUGGUUUAAGUGAGGAAGGUUGCACGUGACUCACACUUUAUGUCUACCACAGGUCACUGGAGAGAGGAGGCUCGGCCUCUUGGAAUCACCUAGGGUCAAGAUUUUGUAGCUGUACUGUGUCUAAGAAGGCUGUACAAGUUUUCUUCCAAACUGGGCACUAUUUCACUCAGCUUCUGCUGUUCAACAAACCACUGCAUAACUUUAGGGUUUUUGAACAACAAUUGAUUAUUUCUCAUGGUUUCUUCUAGGUUGGAUCACGAGUCUGUGUUCAUCUGGAGGAUGAACUGAGCUGGGAUGAAAGUCACAGUGGCCCUGGGCAUGCGUCUGCAGUAGAUUCUGCUUGUUGAUGGCAGGGACUCCCUCCUCCUCCAUCUGGUCUGUCUUCCUUCUUCCUCACCUCGCCGGGGCUAGCCUGGAUGACUUCAUGGCAUGGCAGCUGGGGCAUCGGGAGUGGGAGAAGAAGCCCUAGAAUCAGGAGCACACACAGCAUCACUUCUGCCACUUUCUCUUGGCCUAAUCAAGUGGCACGUCCAGCCCAGAUGAAAGAGCGGUUCACCUCUUGACAAGAAGUCUUCAGAAAACGCGUCUGUGUCUUCCAGGCAGUCCUGGGGCACGUGUGCGAGUGACUGGUCUGCCAGGAUCGCAGGCGUGGGCCAGCGACGCUCUGGCCGCGUGGGACUUGGGGUCACCCUAAACCCUGAGACAGCAGAGGCUUUUGUACUGGGUUUUCUGCUCUUCAGACCCGACACAACUACAACUUGGAAACAGAAAGACUGGAUUCCACCCCUGGAGAGUUUUAUUUUUUCUUGUUUUGUUCUGCUUUUCCAAUUUGUUUAGUUGGUUAGAUUUGCUAUUUAAGUGACACCACGUUUCACUAAAGAUAAUUGGAAAUGCUAGAGCCUACCUACACAAAGCCAAUUUGGAAAGGUGCAUAACUGCCAUCAUUCUGGACCCUAACCCCCUUCCCUCGAAGCUGAGCUGUUUUUACACACCCCAAAUACCCUCCUUUAACCCUCGCUGGCCACCCUUCUCCUUCUCCCGGCAAAGUCCUCGUGUAUCAGGGGCUGGCCCUCUGGCCACACAGCACCUGUGCUCCCGAGCCUGGACGCAGGACACUGAGAAAGCAGUCGGGCUGCUUACUGAGUCUGUGACUUUGGAGUCCCUGUGGUCAGUCUCCUCAAAGGAUAAUGUGUUUAAUGGUCUCAGUUCUGCUUGCUGCAUAGGGCAAUUAUGAAUUCAAAUGACAGCCGUGGAACCCUCUGGAAAAAUACAUUAAUUUAUAGUAUCUAUUGAGAUUCAUAAUAAAAAUGCAAAAAUUGUCCCUGACCUGGAAUAG